GACGAACGCUGGCGGCGUGCUUAACACAUGCAAGUCGAACGGAAAGGCCCUUCGGGGUACUCGAGUGGCGAACGGGUGAGUAACACGUGGGUGAUCUGCCCUGCACUUUGGGAUAAGCCUGGGAAACUGGGUCUAAUACCGAAUAUGACCGCGCUCUUCAUGGGGUGUGGUGGAAAGCUUUUGCGGUGUGGGAUGGGCCCGCGGCCUAUCAGCUUGUUGGUGGGGUAAUGGCCUACCGAGGCGACGACGGGUAGCCGGCCUGAGAGGGCGACCGGCCACACUGGGACUGAGAUACGGCCCAGACUCCUACGGGAGGCAGCAGUGGGGAAUAUUGCACAAUGGGCGCAAGCCUGAUGCAGCGACGCCGCGUGAGGGAUGACGGCCUUCGGGUUGUAAACCUCUUUCAGCAGGGACGAAGCGCAAGUGACGGUACCUGCAGAAGAAGCACCGGCCAACUACGUGCCAGCCGCCGCUGUAACAC
rnacentral:rRNA from 1 species